UACAUAGGUCCCAAGCGUUGUUCGGAUUCACUGGGCGUAAAGGGUGCGUAGGCGGUCGGGUAAGUCUGAUGUGAAAUCUCACAGCUUAACUGUGAAACUGCAUUGGAUACUAUCCGGCUCGAGGAAUGGAGGGGAGACUGGAAUACUUGGUGUAGCAGUGAAAUGCGUAGAUAUCAAGUGGAACACCAGUGGCGAAGGCGAGUCUCUGGACAUUUCCUGACGCUGAGGCACGAAAGCCAGGGGAGCAAACGGG
rnacentral:rRNA from 1 species